UGGUGGAGUGAUUUGUCUGGUUAAUUCCGAUAACGAACGAGACUCUAGCCUGCUAAAUAGACUGGCGAUCCCUUCGUGGGUCGACCAGAUUUGCUUCUUAGAGGGGACAAGUGGCGUUCCUAGCCACGCGAAAUUGAGCAAUAACA
rnacentral:rRNA from 1 species